CUGGACUACACAUGUCAUCUCCCGGAGCAGCAGGCGGUGGCUGGGACGGCAGCACAGAGAAAGCCCGGCACAGGCUCCGCUCAGAGCCUCAGGAUGUGGGGAGGCUUCUACAGAUGACCAGCUUGGUGGCGUCAUCAUCCCCACCUGGAGGUGUUUCUGGGCUGGAACAGAGACACACCCCAAGACAUGCCAAGUUCCUGUCUAAGGAACAAUCUCCAGUUCCUUGGCAGAUUGCUAAUAAAUAUUUCCAGUAGGAAGGAGACCUUAUCUGGAACCAAGAGGCAUGUCUGUAAGAAACUCUUAUGAAGUUGUCGGGGUUCAAGUUGGCCUUCCUGUUGUUCAACCUGGUGGAGAAUGUUCCUGUGGGCCUUGGCAGCAAGUCAGCAUUCUUCGUUGGCAUGGAGUCCUAGGAAAAAGAGGCUCUCCACCC
rnacentral:lncRNA from 1 species